rnacentral:lncRNA from 9 species
AGGGUUAAAGAACUAAUAACUUUUCAAAGGUAAACAUCACUAGAAAAGUCAGUGUUUUUUAAAAGAGAAAUGAACCCAGCAAAAGAAUUCCACAGUAGCAGCGGUAAGCAGUGGUCUGCGUUGCCAGAGCCCUCCUCCUUUUGUUUUUAGUUGCAGCUGUAAUUCAUGCAGACGAGGCAGCCUGGGAGCAGGUUUAACUAUAUUCCAUUCUCAGUGUGUAGACAAACUGUUAACAGAACUGCCUACUAAAUAAGAGAUAUUUAGUCUUUCUCUAAAAACAGUGUAUAACAGUAUUUUAACAUCUAGUUAUGUGGAUUUCAUAUGAAAAAAGCUGAAUGAAAAUUGAGUCGUAUAUGUGAAGAAGAUAUAUUGGUUAUGUGUAAAUGAAAAAAUUGACCCUUUAAAAAUGAUUUUUACCUGAAGCUUGUCAUAAUCAAAUUUCUUAAGCAAGUCUGCGUGGUCACAGCACUUUCUCACUCAGAACGUAAAACUCUGUUGUUCCUGCACCAUGUUGUCUCCAGCUGCCCUCUCAGAGGGAAAGGGAGAAUCGUCAGAAUCCAAUUUCUUUUGGAGAUCAAACACCCUCAGCGGCACCUGAGCUUGUGGUUCUCAGCAGUGUGGGUUUGAGGAUGAAGACUGUGUCUCCACCAGCCAGUCUGUCUUGAUUUUAUUGUGGAGUCAGUGUUAAGAUUGUAGCUCGGCUUUUCCCUUGCACUGAAACAUCCUUGCUUGAGCAUUUUACUUGAAUUUCUUUAAUCACAAAGCUGUCAUUAAAUUAUCUGCUUAGAAUGAAAUUGACUGUCAGGUGUGAAAGUUGCCACAAUUGUGUGGGUGUGUUCGAGGAUGUGUGUAUCUAUUUCCUUUUGCUCUAACUGCCCUUACUUCACUUCUAACCUUUGAAUGGAUGCUGGAAGAGGGAGCAGUCUCUUGUAGACUGCUCUUGAUUGGAUGAGGAAAGAGAAUUCCGAGGGCUUGUAGGAAGCAACCCCUCAGAUCUCACUGCUGUGCCACAGAAUUUCGUGUUAAGUAUUGUGUGGCCAAACUGAGAGAGUGCUUUAAAGGGAAAAAAAAGUUUACGUUUGAUGCACCUCAUCAGCCUUUGGGGACACUUCUUAAAUGAAUACACUCUGGUGAACUCUUUCUUUGUGCGGGUGGGCAGACAGGUGCAGGGCAGGGCUCACUGCCGCACUCAGCCUCCUCAGGCAGGAUGGCUCCUGAUACAGCCCAGGGUGUGAUUUCAAAUUGACAGCACAUUUUCAAAUCAAGAACCGUGAACAUGUUUUAGCCUGUUUAUUAAAUAACUCACAGUUUUGCAGAUACUAAAUGCUAAGAUAGCUAUUAAUAGGUUUCUUGUUUAUUUUUUUUAACAAAUUGUUACUGCCUGUUUUAAAAUCAUGUGUUAUGUGAAACUUUCUCCGUAAACAAACAAUUUCCUUUUACUUUUCACCUUGCACAGGGCAUGCUUUCCAAUGCAGACAAAUUGAGUGUCUUAGAAGCACUAAUAAUCCUGGGUGCCUGCCCUUGGCUUAUUAGCCCAUCUGAGAGUUGUUGCCAUCCAGUUUUACAAUUGUGUUCAUCCAGUUACAAA